UAGAGGAAGUAAAAGUCGUAACAAGGUUUCCGUAGGUGAACCUGCGGAAGGAUCAUUAGUGAAAGAAAAUGUAUUGAUUUUUAUGGGGCCGAAUCUCGCAUUCGGUUUCAAAAAAAAUCAACUACACUCACAUCCCACACCCCUUUGUGAACUAAACCGCGUGGAGAGUUAGUAGAAUCUCUUUUCGAAACCUCUCACGAUAACAUACCUAUAUAUAUAUACCCCAGUAAUGAAAGUCUCAGAAUGUAAACCCUUUUGCGUAUAUCGCAAUAAAAACUAUACAACUUUCAGCAACGGAUCUCUUGGCUCUCGCAUCGAUGAAGAACGCAGCGAAAUGCGAUAAGUAAUGUGAAUUGCAGAAUUCAGUGAAUCAUCGAAUCUUUGAACGCAACUUGCACCCUUUGGUAUUCCGAAGGGUACGCCUGUUUGAGUGUCGUGAAUUCAUCCACUCGGCCUACAUUUCUUUGUAGUGUGCUGUGCUGGGAUUUGGGGGUUUGCGGGCUUUUUAAAUAAAAUCCGCUCCUCUUGAAUACAUUAGUGAAGGACCCCUAUGGUGGCCCCGAUGUGAUAGAUAAUCUACGUCGUUGGGUGUAAUACUAAGGAAGACUUUGCUUCGAACCGUCUUCGGACAAUUAUUAUAAUCAAACUUGACCUCAAAUCAGGUGGGACUACCCGCUGAACUUAAGCAUAUCAAUAAGCCGGAGGAA
rnacentral:sRNA from 1 species